GGGAUCAUGAUCUGAGCGAAAGGCAGACGCUUAGACAGACGCUUAACGACUGAGCCACCCAGAUGCCCCUCUGUAGUGCUGUUUUUCUCCCGGCUGGCAGUCCUGCCUCCUCCUGCCCUUCUUCCUUCCCGGGUCCCUGUCUUGGGCCCACUUCUUGCUCCUCAUCUCAGCACUAGGUCUGGGACAGCCUGUCCCCAAAAUGGACUGAGUACCUGCUGGGUGCGUGGAUGGUGAAUCCAAUAAUAAACACUCCCAGCCUACAAGGCAGCCUGGAGGGCACCUACCACCCAGGACUAACUAGCACUUGCAUUUGGUCCUUGGUUUCGAGGCUUUUUAAAUAAGAGGACGAAGGCCACAGGGUUAGUGGAAGUCCCCUUAGUCCCCUUUAUAUCCUUUCCUCCGUGGCCCCAGAGGUUCUGCCGAUGUGAAGUCCUGCCAGGCCAGACUACCCAAGUCAGAUGGGACAGGGGAGGUGGGAAAGGAAGAAGCUGGUGGGGAGCAUGUUGAAGAUAGUCCACUGUUGAAGCAUGUUGAAGAUGUCAUAUGAACUGCGAGUUUGGGCAUCUGCACAAAGAUGUCAUCAAAGCGGGCGAGGAUGCUACCCAGCGAGAAGCUAGGGCCCAGGAUUGAGCUGGGGCAGGGCUAGUGGAGGGGGAAGGGGAGCAGGCAGGAGUGGGGUCCUGCAUCCUGGGUCACGUGCCACCUCUGAACAGUUGAGGACAAAAGGGAGAUGUGGGAGGACCUGAUGGCUGGCGGUGUUGAGUCCUUGGUGGAUGUGGUAGGAGCCAAGGGUCACUUUUUCAGGAAGCUUUCUGAGCCAGAAUGCCCAAAGGGCAAGACUGCAGUCUCCCUGUCCCUCUCCCUACACCUUCCUAGCUUGAUUCCCCCAUCCCAUCCGACUCCCUUAUCUCUGGGCAUCUCACCCCCAAACUUUCCUGCUUCCUGCAGUGACCCCCAGAAUGGGUGAGGGGCUGGCUGGAUCUCUCCUCCGCCUCUCUCCUUG